CACUGUGGCCAUGUGGCUUGGUUCUCUGGGCAUAAUCCAGCAGGCUGGUGCCUCAGUCUUGAGGACUCCAGCAAAUGAAAAAGGCAAGAAAAUACUAAGGU